GGACAGAUAGCUCAGUGGUAGAGGUAUGUUCAAAAUGCCCCGCAAUGCAGCAGCAUCCAAAGACUAACAAUAAUGAUAGCGAGGGAUUGCAGAUCCCUAGGUCGCGUGUUCGAUCCACGCUCGGUCCU